AAGAACUUAGCCAUCUUCUCUGGCAUCGCAAGAAGCAAAACAAAACAAUUCCCAGACGCGGAGCGAGUCAGUAGCGGGGCCAACAACGGCAAACUAUUCGCACAAGGCACCAGUCCCUGACACGGAGAGACCCACACAGAUUUCUGGCAUCUUUAACUAUCUUUGAUUUUCCAUUCUGAACAAAGAUAUUCAACCUGGAACAUCAGCUCUGUUUCUCUUCCUGCAGGCUGACCUGCUGAAUAUUUAAAAUGUCUUCAAUCUUAACUAAAUUCGUAGAGUCACUCAAUACAGAAAAAGACUCCCGGGCUCAUCAAGUCUAUGCCAGCUAUUGACACCAGUCCUGCUGUACUGUAUUACUACCAUCCCCUUUGCUGAUUACAAGAUAAAAAUAAAUGUGUAAUGAAACUCUCCUGCAAAAGCUCUCUGCAUCCAAUCAAUGGCAAUUGUGCUGUUCCUGUCAGAUAAUGGCAUUAAACCAUCAUGCUGAUUAGCUGAUGAAGCAAUAUAACAUGCCUGUUAUUCCAAGUAAGGUUAAAUUAUUUUGGUUUGUUACAAAUUACUUAAGUAUUUAAAUGAUUUAUAAACAAAGGAAGCCCUCAUGAUAAAUGCUUUGAUAGUUAGAAAUAAUUUAAUGUGUACUCACAUUUUUCUCAUUAAAUAGUAUUAAUAUUGGUAAAAUGCUUGCUAUUUUGGAGCUAAGAGUACCUCCCACCCCACUAGAUAACAAUGGAAGUGAGAAAUUGCGUUAUUUGUUUGUACACACAGUGUCCCCUUUAUUGGGUAUCUCCUGUACCUAAUAAAAUGGCCACUGAGUGUAUGUUUGUGGUCUUCUUCUGCUGUAGUCUAUCCACUUCAAUGUGCUGUGUGUCCAGAGGUAACUGUUGCCUUCCUGUCAGUUUGAACCAGCCUUGCCGUUCUCCUCUGACUUCUCUCAUUUACGAGGCGUUUUUGCCCACUGUACUGCUGCUUACUGGAUUAUUUUUUUUUUUGUUUUUGCGCCUUUCUCUGCAAAAAACUAGAGACUGUCGUGUAUGAAAAUCCCAGGAGAUUAGCAGUUUCUGAGGUACUCAAACCACCCUGUCAAGCGCCGUGGUCAAGGUAGAUCACAUUGGUCACCUUUGUUCACCAUUCUGAUGUUUUGUUAAGCAACAACUGAACCUCUUGACCAUGUCUGCAUGUUUCUAUGCAUUGGGUUGGUGCCACUUUAUUGGCUGAUUAGAUAUUUGCAUUAACAGACAGCUGUACCUAAUAAAGUGGCCUCUGAGCAUA